AUCGCUUCUCAGCCUUUUGGCUAAGAUCAAGGGUAGUAUCUGUUCUUAUCAGUUUAAUCUAUAAAUUAUCCAAAUCUGCUGUUUUGAGGUUCCAUAUUGUGUACUGCAUGUGCUAUUAUCAUGAUUAUCAUCAGAAACAACAACAAAU
rnacentral:snRNA from 1 species